rnacentral:rRNA from 1 species
AUGACUAAACCAAAGUGCAUGGGUGGAAUGGGUUUUAGAGACUUACGUUUGUUCAAUCUUGCAAUGCUUGGUAAACAGGGGUGGCGUUUCAUGACGAAUCCCAACUCCUUGUGUGCAAGGGUCUUGAAAGGACGAUACUUCCCGGAGACUGAUUUUAUGCAAGCGCCGGUUCCAAAAUCGGCAUCGGCUACUUGGAAGACAAUCAUCGCGGGA